rnacentral:misc_RNA from 1 species
AAGUCGUAACAAGGUAUCCGUAGGUGAACCUGCGGAUGGAUCAUUACCAAAGAUUUUUACAAGUCUUGUGAACUGUUUUGAACUACACUAUUGGGCUUACUCGUAAGGGCAAGCCCGGCGGUACCAUACACGUAUAUACCCCUAAACUGACGUCUACUUUAGUAGUAAAUCAAACUAAAGACAACUUUUAGCAACGGAUCUCUUGGCUCUC